rnacentral:rRNA from 1 species
AACGAACGCUGGCGGCAGGCUUAACACAUGCAAGUCGAACGCACCGCAAGGUGAGUGGCAGACGGGUGAGUAACGCGUGGGAACCUACCCCUUGGUACGGGAUAGCUCCGGGAAACUGGAGAUAAUACCGUAUGUGACCUGAGGGUCAAAGAUUCAUCGCCAAGGGAUGGGCCCGCGUCGGAUUAGCUAGUUGGUGGGGUAACGGCCUACCAAGGCAACGAUCCGUAGCUGGUCUAAGAGGAUGAUCAGCCACAUUGGGACUGAGACACGGCCCAAACUCCUACGGGAGGCAGCAGUGGGGAAUAUUUGACAAUGGGCGCAAGCCUGAUCCAGCCAUGCCGCGUGAGUGAUGAAGGCCCUAGGGUUGUAAAGCUCUUUCACCGGGGACGAUAAUGACGGUACCCGGAGAAGAAGCCCCGGCUAACUUCGUGCCAGCCGCCGCCGUAA